UACAGAGGGUGCAAGCGUUAAUCGGAAUUACUGGGCGUAAAGCGUGCGUAGACGGUUAUGUAAGUCAGAUGUGAAAGCCCCGGGCUCAACCUGGGAAUUGCAUUUGAGACUGCAUAGCUAGAGUGCGGAAGAGGGAAGCGGAAUUUCCGGUGUAGCGGUGAAAUGCGUAGAUAUCGGAAGGAACACCAGUGGCGAAAGCGGCUUCCUGGUCCAGCACCGACGUUCAGGCACGAAAGCGUGGGGAGCAAACAGG
rnacentral:rRNA from 1 species